ACUACAGUCUGUAACUGUAGAACUACAGAGUCCAGCUAUACAAUUGGAUUCCUGCUUGGGCUGGUAACUGAAACUGAAACUGAAACUAUUCACUGCAUACCUGCCUCACACCGCACUGAGCCCCUCACCUGGACCUGUUAACGUGCCCUCAUGGCAGUCAAGGGCUGUCAAACUACUCAAGCUCACGAAUGGUCAAAUAUUCCUGCAGAAAAACUGAGACGCUGAGUUUUUGCUGACGACUCCAAACUCAUUUAUGCACUUCAGCUUUUAAGGAGUUUUGCUCUUCAUUGUUCUUUGGUUUGUGUUUGUUCUCUGUGUACUUUGUGAGGAGCACAAAAAAGUUUGGAAAGCUGCAGUGCAGAUAAAGUUAUUAUUAAUAUUGUACAUUAAACAGAUUAUCAUAAUCCGCUGUAAUCAUUGA